AUUGAACGCUGGCGGCAUGCCUUACACAUGCAAGUCGAACGGUAACAGGUCUUCGGAUGCUGACGAGUGGCGAACGGGUGAGUAAUACAUCGGAACGUGCCCAGACGUGGGGGAUAACGAGGCGAAAGCUUUGCUAAUACCGCAUACGAUCUAAGGAUGAAAGCAGGGGACCGCAAGGCCUUGCGCGUUUGGAGCGGCCGAUGGCAGAUUAGGUAGUUGGUGGGAUAAAAGCUUACCAAGCCGACGAUCUGUAGCUGGUCUGAGAGGACGGCCAGCCACACUGGGACUGAGACACGGCCCAGACUCCUACGGGAGGCAGCAGUGGGGAAUUUUGGACAAUGGGCGAAAGCCUGAUCCAGCAAUGCCGCGUGCAGGAUGAAGGCCUUCGGGUUGUAAACUGCUUUUGUACGGAACGAAAAGGCUCUGGCUAAUACCUGGGGCACAUGACGGUACCGUAAGAAUAAGCACCGGCUAACUACGUG
rnacentral:rRNA from 1 species